CCUACGGGCGGCAGCAGUGAGGAAUAUUGGUCAAUGGGCGUAAGCCUGAACCAGCCAAGUCGCGUGAGGGAUGAAGGUUCUAUGGAUCGUAAACCUCUUUUAUAAGGGCAUAAAGUGUGGGACGUGUCCUGUUUUGUAUGUACCUUAUGAAUAAGGAUCGGCUAACUCCGUGCCAGCAGCCGCGGUAAUACGGAGGAUCCGAGCGUUAUCGGGAUUUAUUGGGUUUAAAGGGUGCGUAGGCGGCCUUUUAAGUCAGCGGUGAAAGUCUGUGGCUCAACCAUAGAAUUGCCGUUGAAACUGGGAGGCUUGAGUAUGUUUGAGGCAGGCGGAAUGCGUGGUGGAGCGGUGAAAUGCUUAGAUAUCACGCAGAACCCCGAUUGCGAAGGCAGCCUGCCAAGCCAUGACUGACGCUGAUGCACGAAAGCGUGGGGAUCAAACAGGAUUAGAUACCCUGGUAGUC
rnacentral:rRNA from 1 species